rnacentral:lncRNA from 1 species
UUGUCGGUCGGGUGGGGGACUGGGGAAAUGGGUCUUUGUUGGAUUUUGAAUUUGAUGAAAGAAUAGACGACCUCUCGUUUGGCCCUCUCUCUGUGGAAUGGGGAGAAAAAGAAGGGAAAGAAAACAAACAGACAACGACAAAGAAAAUAUAUGAAAAAGCAGAGGUGUGCACAUUCAGAAAAUAUUAACUUUAUAAAUGACUUUAUCUACUUGUUUAACUACAAAGAUAUAUAUGCAUAGGUUUCAGACGCGCGCAUGCAUCGUAAUUUGAAUGCGUCGUCGCAUCGUAAUCAUUAGUAUUUGAAUAGAAAUAUUAUCUUGUAAUUAACCAUUCGAUGUUUUGUAGCGUUUGAAAAAGAUUCAAAUUGAGAAAAAAAUUAUCUGUUACCAUUGUUGGUCUACUAUUGGUUAAAUACUACAUGCAUUACCUAAUGGAUACUAGGGUAUCUACCAUUUAAUGAAAUUUUUUGGUAGGAUAUGAUCCAAUGUCAGUUUUGGCCGACCCAUCAUACCUUUCUUCAAACCAUAAGAUAAGCAACGCACACCAGAAACUAAUUCUGAAUAUAUAUGAGAUGUAUCAUGUUAUUCAUGUAUGCAACAACAGAACUACAGAAAUAAAG